ensembl:ncRNA C07G2.4 ncRNA
ACAACGACGACGGCAUAAGAGGAAAUCCGAUAUUUUCGUGGGGCGCGGCGGCGUUGAAUGUUGGGAAGGAGAGAAGGAGGUAGUGGCCCCCGUCCAAGUGUCCUUUGGCACAACAAUCCCAAAUGAUGAUGACGAAACAAAGAAAAAA